rnacentral:rRNA from 1 species
GACGAACGCUGGCGGCGUGCUUAACACAUGCAAGUCGAACGCUGAAGACCUGGCUUUUGUUGGGUUGGAUGAGUGGCGAACGGGUGAGUAACACGUGAGUAACCUGCCCUCUUCUUUGGGAUAACGCCCGGAAACGGGUGCUAAUACUGGAUAUUCACUGAUCUUCGCAUGGGGGUUGGUGGAAAGGUUUGUUCUGGUGGGGGAUGGGCUCGCGGCCUAUCAGCUUGUUGGUGGGGUGAUGGCCUACCAAGGCUUUGGCGGGUAGCCGGCCUGGGAGGGUGACCGGUCACAUUGGGACUGGGAUACGGCCCAGACUCCUGCGGGAGGCAGCAGUGGGGAAUAUUGCACAAUGGGCGAAAGCCUGAUGCAGCGACGCCGCGUGAGGGAUGGAGGCCUUCGGGUUGUAAACCUCUUUCGCUCAUGGUCAAGCCGCAACUGUGGGUUGUGGUGAGGGUAGUGGGUAAAGAAGCGCCGGCUAACUACGUG